rnacentral:rRNA from 1 species
GGGUUGUGAGGUUAAGCGACUAAGCGUACACGGUGGAUGCCCUGGCAGUCAGAGGCGAUGAAGGACGUGCUAAUCUGCGAUAAGCGCCGGUAAGGUGAUAUGAACCGUUAUAACCGGCGAUUUCCGAAUGGGGAAACCCAGUGUGAUUCGUCACACUAUCAUUAACUGAAUCCAUAGGUUAAUGAGGCGAACCGGGGGAACUGAAACAUCUAAGUACCCCGAGGAAAAGAAAUCAACCGAGAUUCCCCCAGUAGCGGCGAGCGAACGGGGAGGAGCCCAGAGCCUGAAUCAGCAUGUGUGUUAGUGGAAGCGUCUGGAAAGGCGCGCGAUACAGGGUGACAGCCCCGUACACAAAAGCGCAUGUGCUGUGAGCUCGAUGAGUAGGGCGGGACACGUGGUAUCCUGUCUGAAUAUGGGGGGACCAUCCUCCAAGGCUAAAUACUCCUGACUGACCGAUAGUGAACCAGUACCGUGAGGGAAAGGCGAAAAGAACCCCGGCGAGGGGAGUGAAAAAGAACCUGAAACCGUGUACGUACAAGCAGUGGGAGCACCCUUCGGGGUGUGACUGCGUACCUUUUGUAUAAUGGGUCAGCGACUUAUAUUCUGUAGCAAGGUUAACCGUAUAGGGGAGCCGGAGGGAAACCGAGUCUUAAUUGGGCGUUAAGUUGCAGGGUAUAGACCCGAAACCCGGUGAUCUAGCCAUGGGCAGGUUGAAGGUUGGGUAACACUAACUGGAGGACCGAACCGACUAAUGUUGAAAAAUUAGCGGAUGACCUGUGGCUGGGGGUGAAAGGCCAAUCAAACCGGGAGAUAGCUGGUUCUCCCCGAAAGCUAUUUAGGUAGCGCCUCGUGAAUUCAUCUCCGGGGGUAGAGCACUGUUUCGGCUAGGGGGCCAUCCCGGCUUACCAACCCGAUGCAAACUGCGAAUACCGGAGAAUGUUAUCACGGGAGACACACGGCGGGUGCUAACGUCCGUCGUGAAGAGGGAAACAACCCAGACCGCCAGCUAAGGUCCCAAAGUCAUGGUUAAGUGGGAAACGAUGUGGGAAGGCCCAGACAGCCAGGAUGUUGGCUUAGAAGCAGCCAUCAUUUAAAGAAAGCGUAAUAGCUCACUGGUCGAGUCGGCCUGCGCGGAAGAUGUAACGGGGCUAAACCAUGCACCGAAGCUGCGGCAGCGAACGUAUCACCCAAGACAACUUUACGGAGUUGACGAUUGACGGAGCGAAGCGACGUCAAAGCGUUCAUUAAAGUCGAGUUGGCUUAGGGAUACGUUCGUUGGGUA